AUGUGCCCCAAGAUCCCACUCUACCUCUCUCCAACUCCUUACACUGGGGUGUACCACAGCUGCUGAGGAGGUCUCUUUGUUGAGCUCCUGUAGCUCUGCAGGUUCUGUGCUGUAAAUAUACAGAACACAGGGGCUUGGAAAACAAGCUGAGAGUGCCCAAGGCUUGGAGGAAAUCUUGGGCUCCACCUUACAGUGUGCUGCUGCAGUGCUCUGACAGCUCAAAGAAGCCUUUUGGUCCUAUGUCACACCCUUGGGAGCUUCCCUGUGCACAUGUGUGAGCCACAGAGGUCAGGCCGUAAUGGGCAUAAAGAAAGAGAGACAGAAAGAAAAGCAAGUUCAAAGAGAAGGUGGGAGAACUUAGAAGGUGGGAGGAGGAGGAAACCAAUGGGCCCAAAUGGGCAAGUCCCUUCAAAACAGGGAGUUUUGAGGCAGAGACCAAAUAGAUCAGGUGGUGGACAGGCCACAGGAAGGCAGGCUUAGGAAAACAAAAAGAACAUAAGCGUUCCAAAGUUUGGAAGCAUCAUUCCACCCUCGUCCUCCUCUCACUUUUAAACCAGUCAAGCCUGGACUGCAAAGAGCAAGACCUGUGAGAUGUAACUUGCUGCUUCAGUUUUCUUUCUUUAGGAAAUCUCUUUUCUGUUUCAAGCCCCUGAAAGUCCUGAAGAGGAGAGACGAGGCGACAGGCAAACAAUACUCAUCAGUUCACACACUUUAAUGCUCUGUUUUAUAGAAGUUGAAUUAACUGUAUUCUUCUCUCUGAGUUGACUUGGUUAGCAUUAGCACAUCAGGACUAGGAGCUAAAGGAGUUGAAGAAUUAGCCCCCAGGAGCUGACCAAGAGGAAAUUUUUUGGUAAAACUAAUGCUGUUAACAUGGAACUAGCUAUAUCUGGCAGAUAGAAUCAUGGACUCAUAGAGUUCUUUCAGCUGGAAAAGACUUCUAAGCUCCUUGA